GAGUUUGAUCAUGGCUCAGGAUGAACGCUGGCGGCGUGCUUAACACAUGCAAGUCGAGCGAAGCGCUCUGUCCGGAUUCUUUCGGGAUGACGGACUUAGUGACUGAGCGGCGGACGGGUGAGUAACGCGUGGGUAACCUGCCUCAUACAGGGGGAUAACAGUUAGAAAUGGCUGCUAAUACCGCAUAAGCGCACAGUACCGCAUGGUACGGUGUGAAAACCCAGGUGGUGUGAGAUGGAUCCGCGUCUGAUUAGCCAGUUGGCGGGUAACGGCCACCAAAGCGACGAUCAGUAGCCGACCUGAGAGGGUACCGGCACAUUGGGACUGAGACACGGCCCAAACUCCUACGGGAGCAGCAGUGGGGAAUAUUGCACAAUGGGCGAAGCCUGAUGCAGCGACGCCGCGUGAGUGAAG
rnacentral:rRNA from 1 species